CAUUAGAUACCCCUGUAGUCCUAGCCGUAAACUAUGCUCGCUAGGUGUCAGGCAUGGCGCGACCGUGUCUGGUGCCGCAGGGAAGCCGUGAAGCGAGCCACCUGGGAAGUACGGCCGCAAGGCUGAAACUUAAAGGAAUUGGCGGGGGAGCACAACAACGGGUGGAGCCUGCGGUUUAAUUGGACUCAACGCCGGACAACUCACCGGGGACGACAGCAAUAUGUAGGCCAGGCUGAAGACCUUGCCUGAAUCGCUG
rnacentral:rRNA from 1 species